rnacentral:lncRNA from 1 species
UCACCGCCACCUUCACCCGUCGACGAGGGAGUGCUUCCCGCUCUUCCUUCACCUGCUGCACCUUCGCCCUCGCCCCCUUCACCGUCACCUCCCUCGCCGCAGCCCCCUACGCCUCCUUCACCUGGUUCGGAGGAAGCAGCACCGUCUCCCUCACCUCCCUCUCCCGCUCCGCCCUCACCGUCUCCUCCCUCGCCGCAGCCCCCUACGCCGCCUUCACCUGGUUCGGAGGAAGCAGCACCGUCUCCCUCACCUCCCUCUCCCGCUCCGCCCUCACCGUCUCCUCCCUCGCCGCAGCCCCCUACGCCUCCUUCACCUGGUUCGGAGGAAGCAGCACCGUCUCCCUCACCUCCCUCUCCCGCUCCGCCCUCACCGUCUCCUCCCUCGCCGCAGCCCCCUACGCCUCCUUCACCUGGUUCGGAGGAAGCAGCACCGUCUCCCUCACCUCCCUCUCCCGCUCCGCCCUCACCGUCUCCUCCCUCGCCGCAGCCCCCUACGCCUCCUUCACCUGGUUCGGAGGAAGCCGCACCGUCUCCCUCACCUCCCUCUCCCGCUCCGCCCUCACCGUCUCCUCCCUCGCCGCAGCCCCCUACACCUCCUUCACCUGGUUCGGAGGAAGCCGCACCGUCUCCCUCACCUCCCUCUCCCGCUCCGCCCUCACCGUCUCCUCCCUCGCCGCAGCCCCCUACACCUCCUUCACCUGGUUCGGAGGAAGCCGCACCGUCUCCCUCACCUCCCUCUCCCGCUCCGCCCUCACCGUCUCCUCCCUCGCCGCAGCCCCCUACACCUCCUUCACCUGGUUCGGAGGAAGCCGCACCGUCUCCCUCACCUCCCUCUCCCGCUCCGCCCUCACCGUCUCCUCCCUCGCCGCAGCCCCCUACACCUCCUUCACCUGGUUCGGAGGAAGCCGCACCGUCUCCCUCACCUCCCUCUCCCGCUCCGCCCUCACCGUCUCCUCCCUCGCCGCAGCCCCCUACGCCUCCUUCUCCCUCGCCGCCCUCGCCCUCACCGCCUUCGCCUGCACCACUCUCACCCACGCCGCC